UGACAGUUAGUCAAGAAGGCCGUAAGGGU
rnacentral:sRNA from 1 species